GAGAGGAGAGGAUAGAUAGAGAGAGGGAGACACCGGCAAACGACGUCAAAAGCGGCGAGGAGAAAAAAGGGGGAUAACACGGGAGGAAAACGAUAACAAAAAACAGUCUCGGUUAUUACAAUGUUAUUUAAAGUGUAUUGGUAAAUAUAAGGGGCGUGAUUGUGGACAAGAAGAACAAAAGCCAGUAAUAAUAACACUAAGCAAUAAUAAAGACAAUAACCGCAAGUUAAGCAUUAAGAAAUUGUAUUGGUUUAGAAGUAACGGCGCCGAGAACGAGGGUAAAGGGAGGUGACGGAGAUUUCAGAGUGAAAAGGACGGUCUGAGAAAAAAGAGUGACACACGCAGACAUCUGUGAAGAAGGGAGAGAGACGGAGGCACGGAUUUGUUAUCAGUAGGCUGGUGAUCACUUGGCAGCGCAGAAAUCCUAACGGGAACUCCAAAGGACCGGAGCUAGAACUGCAAAGCAAGGAAAGGACCACAAAAAAGGAAGGAAUUAAAAUAAACCCAGAAUAAAGUCAAGGAAGAAGAACAGGAGAGAAACAUAAGAGAAAGCCAAACAAACAGAUAAGGACAAAGAAACUAAUAUAUAUAUAAAAUAUUACAUAUCUGAUUUAAUAGCGGUGUCUGAAAUUCUGAAUUUAUUCCAAAUUUUAUUUUGAUGCUCGUUCGAACUUGCAUAUAGUCUGUACGUAUGCGUUUAGCUGUAACGUUAACGUAGCCGGACAAAGAGAAGAGACACAUUGACAUAAAGGCACCCUAUACGUCCAGCUGGUUAAACAAAGGAAACGUACAGAAAGACAGUUACACUUGAUUUACUAUAAGAUCUCACAUUUGAACAGGGGCUCCGAAGACAGUAUUAUUAAUAGAAGUCCCCGAGUCUCCCUCUCGCUCCGCUCCCUCUUCAAGUGUCGGUCGCUCUCCCGCACCGUCUCAAUGAAGGAGCCCGACGCGAUCAAGCUGUUCAUCGGGCAGAUUCCUCGCAAUCUGGAGGAAAAGGACCUGAAGCCCAUUUUUGAACAGUUCGGCAAGAUCUACGAACUUACGGUGAUAAAGGACAAAUAUACCGGCAUGCACAAAGGAUGUGCCUUCCUGACAUACUGCGCACGAGAGUCAGCCCUGAAGGCCCAGAGCGCCCUGCACGAGCAGAAGACUCUCCCGGGAAUGAACCGGCCAAUCCAGGUGAAGCCUGCGGACAGCGAAGGCAGAGGAGAAGACAGGAAGCUCUUUGUGGGCAUGUUGGGGAAGCAGCAGUCGGACGAGGAUGUAAGGAAGAUGUUUGAGCCAUUCGGGAGCAUCGAGGAGUGUACAGUGCUCAGGGGACCUGAUGGCACCAGCAAGGGGUGCGCCUUUGUCAAGUUCCAGGGCCAUGCGGAAGCCCAGGCUGCCAUCAACACCCUGCACGGCAGUCGCACAUUACCGGGUGCCUCCUCCAGCCUGGUGGUGAAGUUUGCUGACACAGAGAAGGAGCGGGGCCUGCGCCGAAUGCAGCAGGUGGCCUCCCAGCUGGGCAUCUUCAGUCCCAUGACGCUGAACUUCGGGGCCUACAACGCCUACACGCAGGCACUGGUCCAGCAACAGGCCCUGGUUGCGCAGUCGGCAUAUUUGUCGCCCGUGGCAACAGUUGCCGCGGUGCAGAUGCAGCAGAUGGCCGCCCUCAAUGCCAAUGGCAUCAUUGCCACGCCCAUCACGCCCAUAACACCUAUCACGCCCUCUUCAGGUACAAAUACCCCCCCUACCAUCGCAGCCACACCAGUGCCAGCCUUACCUCCACCAAUUGGAGUCAACGGCUAUAGCCCGGUACCUGCUCAAGCCAAUGGGCAGCCGGCAUCUGAAACUCUGUACACCAAUGGUGUCCAUCCUUACCAAGCUCAGAGUCCAGCUGCAGCUUUGGAUCCACUGCAGCAAGCUUAUGCAGGAAUGCAACACUACACAGUCUGUCCCCACCUUACAGCAGCCUACCCUGCUGCCUAUGGAUUGGUUGGCCAGCCGUUCCCACAGCAACCUGCCCUGGUUGCCCAGCAACAUCAACAACCCCAGCAACAGCAGCAGAGAGAAGGCCCAGAGGGAUGUAACAUCUUCAUCUACCAUCUGCCCCAAGAGUUCACUGACUCGGAGAUGCUGCAGAUGUUUCUGCCCUUCGGCAACGUCAUCUCUGCCAAGGUCUUCGUUGACCGUGCCACCAACCAGAGCAAGUGCUUCGGCUUCGUGAGCUUUGACAACCCGGCCAGUGCCCAGACAGCCAUCCAGGCCAUGAACGGCUUCCAGAUUGGCAUGAAGCGGCUGAAGGUCCAGCUGAAGAGGCCCAAGGACGCCAACCGGCCAUACUGAGAUGCCAGUAGAAGGGGAGAGAUCCUCCUGUCCAAUCAUAAAUCGUGAAGACCACGUCGCUAUGGCUAUGGUUACCUAGCAACCGAUAAAGCCCCGUCCCCCUUCCUCUCAGGUAACGUUUCCGUAGACUCCUGUAACAGAAAUCCAAGCGGAAUGCACUCUCAGCGCCUCCUCUGCGUCUCCGUCCGUUAGACAGCCAGGCAACCCGACUACACAGCUAUGUGAAAAUAGCCGACGACUCAGUACAAACAUAUUUACUCGUGUGUAUGGACCGAAGACCCGGUGCAUAUGCAGCCAUGCACACACGCACAUGUACACGCACACUCACCAGGAACACACGUCGAUCAUCUUGGCCGUACCGACGAACCCAGUUUGAUAAGGAGCAUUUGACAAUGGUGUACAGCUUGUGAAAGAGGGGAGGCAGGGAAAAAACAGACGAUGGUGAUGAGUACGGAUGGAAAGUGGAACGACUGAAUAUAUCACUUCUUUUAGUCUACCUUAUGUUGUUAAGUGAUAGCUCCUGUUUCUUAAAAAGGCAACUGGAAAAAUAAUUUACACAAAAAGUGUAGGUUAGUGUGACUAAGGGAAAAAAACCUUAUACUUGUAAAUAAUUUAGUUUAAGGAGAUUAAAGUUUAAAAACCCAUAAAAA